GAUGAACGCUAGCUACAGGCUUAACACAUGCAAGUCGAGGGGAAACGACAUCGAAAGCUUGCUUUUGAUGGGCGUCGACCGGCGCACGGGUGAGUAACGCGUAUCCAACCUGCCCAUCACUUGGGAAUAACCUUGCGAAAGUAAGACUAAUACCCAAUGAUAUCCCACGAAGGCAUCGGAAUGGGAUUAAAGAUUUAUCGGUGAUGGAUGGGGAUGCGUCUGAUUAGCUUGUUGGCGGGGUAACGGCCCACCAAGGCAACGAUCAGUAGGGGUUCUGAGAGGAAGGUCCCCCACAUUGGAACUGAGACACGGUCCAAACUCCUACGGGAGGCAGCAGUGAGGAAUAUUGGUCAAUGGGCGAGAGCCUGAACCAGCCAAGUAGCGUGCAGGAAGACGGCCCUAUGGUUUGUAAACUGCUUUUAUAAGGGAAUAAAGUGGGUCACGUGUGACUUUUUGCAUGUACCUUAUGAAUAAGGACCGGCUAAUUCCGUG
rnacentral:rRNA from 1 species